AACCAUCCCUUUUACUCUAGAUGACUGUAGGCCCCCAGCUAAGGAGACAAGAUAGACCAGAGCCCGGAAGGGAUCUCAAGAAGCACGAGAGGCCAGACCACUUUUGGCGCGCCUAAAUGACAACUUCCCACACUGGAAACCCUCAAGGGGAGAGAGUUAUCGCAGGGCACCUAGCUACUGCUGCAACUGGAAUCACCUGGACUAAGAUAAAGUUACCACUCAAGGUUUUCCACAGUGUUUUAACCAAAAAGUAGUGAUAACAUGACAAACUACAUCUCACAAAAUUGCUAGUCACAUUAAUAGAUCAGAAAAUCAUAGAAUUAAAAAGAACCUUUUUAGAAGAGUUAACCCCUUUAUUUUAUUUUUUUGAUUUUUAUUUAUUUAUUUUGAGAUGAAGUCUCACUCUGUCACCCAGGCUGGAGUGCAAUGGUGCCAUCUUGGCUCACCACAACCUCUCCCUCCUGGGUUCAAACUUACCUCCCACCUCAGCCUCCCAAGUAGCUGAGAUUACAAGCGGGUGCCAACACACCCAGCGAAUCUUUUGUAUUUUUAGUAGAGAUGGGGUUUCACCAUGUUGGCCAAGCUGGUCUCAAACUCCUGACCACAAGUGAUCCACCCGACUCGGCCUCCCAAAGUACUGGGAUUACAGGCACGAGGCGCGCAGAUCACCUAAGGUCGGGAGUUCAAGACCAGCCUGACCAACAUGGAGAAACCCGGUCUCCACUAAAAAUACAAAAAUUAGCCGGGCAUGGUGACACAUGCCUGUAAUCCCAGCUACUCAGGAGGCUGAGGCAGGAGAAUCGCUUGAACUGGGGAGGCGGAGGUUGCGGUGAGCCGAGAUCGUGCCAUUGCACUCCAGCCUGGGCAACAAGAGCAAAACUCCGUCUCAAAAAAAAAAAAAAAAAGUGAUAUAUGUAAAUUUCUCUCUGUCCCAAAGGAGCACCAGAAAUCUCCACAAGCCAGUUUGGAAAACAGGACUCUUGGAAAGGCCUGAGUAGAAUCACACAAAUUAAACAUCUCAACUGCUGAAAAAAGCCAGCUUCCACUGAGGACCAGGACAAAAACUGUGCCAUGAGGAAGGCACAGCAGGCAAGUCCCAGCCUUGGCUUCUGACAGAUAUUUGACAUGGCCAGAAGCAAAGUCUAUGAUCUAAACCUAUGAACUAUGGACUCUCUGGCAGGCCAGUUCACCUCUAUUUUCCUCUGGGUAGGAUCCCUUCUUGGUGCUUCUGGGAUCAGAGAUCAUCACCCCGAAGCAAGAAGCUCCCAAUGCACUUUGCAAUGCGGUGACAAGCCACAAGUGGUCACUUCUUCACAAUCAGCCCCCUACCCACAUUCUCUUCCUCUACUUUCCGGUAUGCCUCAGACUGAACUCACUUAAGUAUUCCCAAGUCAAAGACAAGAUUCUUCUCCCUUAUCCCCUCUCUAAGGCAAAGGAGUGACGAAAGAUUUACUUUCUGUCCACAGGAUCUCCCUGUCACAGCGCGCGCACGCGCGCGCGCGCACACACACACACACACACCCACACACACACAGGUGUGGAGAAGCCAGCCCACCCCAGGAAGGCCGGAAAAGCGAGUUCUGAAGUCUGUUCUAAGCUUGGGACAGCUCCCAGUCGGGGACAGCUCCCGGCCGGGGACAGCUCCCCUUUCUUCCCCUGGUUGAAGAGAGCUCUUGGUCGGGGACAGCUCCUGGUCCCGGACAGCUCCCGAGCGAGGCCCAAGCAGGGCCUGCCGCUCCUCUUCCCCCCAGCUCACUCUCACCUCGCAUUCUGGUACCGCCACUGCCACCUCCGCCACCGCCGCCAGUGGGGGAAUUGGGCCCCGCUGACUGUUUGCGCCAUCCCCGCCAGUUCUGGCAGAGGCUCUCGGCCUCGGAGAUGAAGGAACAGAGUGAAUCCUCCUCAAAACGGUCCGAAUCCUCGAAUGAGAAGCGCUCUCCGUCCUCCCACUCUGCAAACAUCAGCUCCAUGGGGCCCGCACCCCCCGGGGCCGGGUCCCCCCCCGCGGAUCCGGGGCCUGGGCCGCCGGCCGGGGGUUGAGGGGAGGCCCGGGGCCUGAGGGGCGAGCCGGGGCUGGGGGUGGCCGGGGCGCUCAGGGCGGCCGUGCCGGGCGAGAAUCUCAGGCCUGGGAAAGAGACGGGACCGGGCCUCGCCCAACAGCGCGGUGCAAGCGGUGAUCUUGGCCAGUCUCCGAGACUUAGGGCCGGGACGAAGCGCUCGGCGGCUGGGGCCUCUAGGCGGCUGCGGAGCCGCCUCCCCCAUCAGCUGAUCU
rnacentral:lncRNA from 1 species